rnacentral:tRNA from 1 species
GGAGAGAUGGCAGAGUGGUCGAAUGCGGCGGCUUCGAAAGCCGUUGUCCGGGCUUCCCGGACCGGGGGUUCGAAUCCCCCUCUCUCCGCCA